CAUUUAAGUUUUUAAUUCAUUUUGAGUUUUUCUUCUUUUAAUUCAAGAUUUUCCCUUCUACUUUCAGGUUCCUCAACAUGGACAGCUGGCAGGACUAACGCAAAUGGACUAUUGAGGAGAGCUGGUUUGCAGGUGUGGUUUUCUGUCCGUCCGUUUUACAGUUUGUUCGGGUAUUUCAGGUAAGUAACAAAAAUAUAUAUAUUACAAGAACCUUUUAAAUAAUUUGGGUUUUUUUUUUUCUUUUUUUUUUUGUAUAUACUGGUUUCCGGCAACCUAUGAGUACAAAUCUACCGCGACACUAUUCAUAAGUAGGCCUGAGCUCAAUCCUAACCUUACGCGCACGCCUGGUUCAAUUUCAACCAGCGGACUGGCUUCGAGCUACUAACCGUAAGAAAUUAUCUAAAAGGACAGGUUCUGUCCGUUCUGUCGUUCGGGUAAGAGGUACACUUAUGUCGAAAACCUUAAUACCUGGACACCAUAGGACUGUUGGUGCGGAUCUGCUAGAGUAGUCCCACGCUGGAUGGAGCUGGCGAUGGCGUGACUCAGAGUUGCUGCUUUAGUAUUAUGUUUCUCGCUUUAUUUAGCUUUAAGAUUGAUUUAAUUUAGUUUAAAACUUUUAUGAAUAAAAAAAAAACAAGGAAUUAUUUAAUUUAAAUUAAAAUUCUUGUUGUUGUUCUUGACGGCCACGGGCUCCACCUUCUUCUUGGGCAGGGAAAAAUGAAAAG